rnacentral:tRNA from 2 species
CGGAAUAUAGCGCAGUCCGGUAGCGCACCUGCCUUGGGAGCAGGGGGCCGCAAGUUCGAUUCUUGCUAUUCCGACCA